rnacentral:lncRNA from 1 species
AUAAACCCUCCACUUGCACUUAGGGUAAUACUUACACAAUCCAAUGAUCUUGUUACUGUCAUUUUUCUUGUAACGGAAAACAAAAUUAUUCUCAAUGGCAUAAUCUCUCAAAUGGUCCCUGCAAGCAUAUAUAUCUACCCAUGUUUGUUCCACAUUCAAUACCAAUCUUUUUCCAUCAUUAUUAUAAUUUUCUUCAUCUUCCUCCAACUGACCUGUCCUCCUAAUAAAAUCCCCAUCUUCUCCUUCUAAGUUAAUACCAUCAUUAUUUUGUUGAUGUGAGGCACUUGUCCCCUCACGAGCAUUACUUGCUUGAGAAGCAUUUUUUUUUAUGGGAGGGAUUGGAGCAUCUACCUCUGGCUCAUCUUCUUCACUUUCAGAUUCAGAAAUGCAGUAUUCUUCAUCCGAAGCAUCAAGCUGGUCUAUAUCAAAUUUCUUGCCAAGCAAUUCUACAGUUAUAUGGUCAUCUUCAAAUUCUUUCCCUGCACAAUUAAUGAGAAAAGAAAGUUAGUCCCAUUUCACAAAUAUGCUUGGGGGGUUAAAUCAAAUACACUCAACAACACAUUUUUUCUACCUCCUUCCAAUGGAUUUCCUGGUUCUUCAGAAAAUACAUGUUCAUCCCCUACUCCUUGGUUUCCAGCAGUAGCUACAAUAAAAUUUCAUUAAGUUAAUAUCACUAUUGAUGCACAUGUAUUAGUUGGGAGGUUAAAUCAAAUACACUCAACAACACAUUUUUUCUACCUCCUUCCAAUGGAUUUCCUGGUUCUUCAGAAUAUACAUGUUCAUCCCCUACUCCUUGGUUUCCAGAAGUAGCUACAAUAAAAUUUCAUUAAGUUAAUAUCACUAUUGAUGCACAUGUAUUAGUUGGGGGGUUAAAUCAAAUACACUCAACAACACAUUUUUUCUACCUCCUUCCAAUGGAUUUCCUGGUUCUUCAGAAAAUACAUGUUCAUCCCCUACUCCUUGGUUUCCAGCA